rnacentral:lncRNA from 1 species
AGCAAGGAGUUGGGAGGAAAACUAAUGAUCUGUGAGUUAUAACAGAAUUGGGAAAUAGUGGAUGCCGUGUUCACAUUGCCAUUAGGAUAGAUCUUUCCUUUUGUGCGCAAUUACCUCUUUCUAGGAAUUGCCUCCCAAUGUAUUUGCCUUUUCAGGCGCAUUUUCAAUCAAUAAAAGUCGUUAUUCAGAUAAAUGGCUCUUUUGUUUUUAUUUUUACUGUUUUG